UGAUUGAUGGUGCUUGCACCUGAUUGAUUUUCCUUGCAACGAGUGGCGGACGGGUGAGUAACACGUAGGUAACCUGCCCAGAAGCGGGGGACAACAUUUGGAAACAGAUGCUAAUACCGCAUAACAGCGUUGUUCGCAUGAACAACGCUUAAAAGAUGGCUUCUCGCUAUCACUUCUGGAUGGACCUGCGGUGCAUUAGCUUGUUGGUGGGGUAACGGCCUACCAAGGCGAUGAUGCAUAGCCGAGUUGAGAGACUGAUCGGCCACAAUGGGACUGAGACACGGCCCAUACUCCUACGGGAGGCAGCAGUAGGGAAUCUUCCACAAUGGGCGCAAGCCUGAUGGAGCAACACCGCGUGAGUGAAGAAGGGUUUCGGCUCGUAAAGCUCUGUUGUUAAAGAAGAACACGUAUGAGAGUAACUGUUCAUACGUUGACGGUAUUUAACCAGAAAGUCACGGCUAACUACGUGCCAGCAGCCGCGGUAAUACGUAGGUGGCAAGCGUUAUCCGGAUUUAUUGGGCGUAAAGAGAGUGCAGGCGGUUUUCUAAGUCUGAUGUGAAAGCCUUCGGCUUAACCGGAGAAGUGCAUCGGAAACUGGAUAACUUGAGUGCAGAAGAGGGUAGUGGAACUCCAUGUGUAGCGGUGGAAUGCGUAGAUAUAUGGAAGAACACCAGUGGCGAAGGCGGCUACCUGGUCUGCAACUGACGCUGAGACUCGAAAGCAUGGGUAGCGAACAGGAUUAGAUACCCUGGUAGUCCAUGCCG
rnacentral:rRNA from 1 species